rnacentral:snRNA from 1 species
ACCACUUCUCAGCUGUUUGGCUAAGAUCCAGUGUAGUAUCUGUUUUUAUCAGCUUAAUUAUUUGGUGCAAUUUGAUAUUUCUUUUAUUUGUGAAUUACCUUUU